rnacentral:miRNA from 1 species
UACCUCGUCGACCAGAAGGGUGUCCUUCCAGUCGACGAGGUACUUGUACCUUGUCGACCGGAAGGGUGUCCUUCCAGUCGACGAGGUA